rnacentral:piRNA from 1 species
UGAAAGCCUUCAGCAAGACAUUGCUUACCUUG